UACGUAGGCAGCGAGCGUUGUUCGGAGUUACUGGGCGUAAAGAGCGCGCAGGCGGUCGUUCAAGUCGCGUGUGAAAGCCCCCGGCUCAACUGGGGAGGGUCACGCGAUACUGAUCGACUCGAAGGCAGGAGAGGGUAGUGGAAUUCCCGGUGUAGUGGUGAAAUGCGUAGAUAUCGGGAGGAACACCAGUGGCGAAGGCGACUACCUGGCCUGUUCUUGACGCUGAGGCGCGAAAGCUAGGGGAGCAA
rnacentral:rRNA from 1 species